rnacentral:lncRNA from 1 species
CCUAAUUUUGCUUUGCUACACCUAUUUCAGGUGAAUAAAAUAGAAAUUCAUUAUGCCAAGACUGCCAAAAAGAUGGACAUGAAGAAGCUGAAGCAGACUAUGUGGAGUCUGCUGACAGAGUUUUCUAGAAAGGAGACUGACAUAGAGGCAAACCACACUGACAAUGGGAAGGAAGAGGCCCCUGAGGAAGUGGCUGAUGAGAAGAAACUCAGUGGGCUCACAAAGGACCUGCAGACAAGGCUGCCCCCACUCAUGGCUCAGAACCUCUCCAUACCCCUGGCAUUUGCCUGUCUCCUGCAUUUAGCAAAUGAAAAGAAUCUGAAGCUAGAAGGCACAGAGGAUCUCUCUGAUGUUCGGGUAAUGCAAGGGGACUGAGUCCACUUUAAGACAUCUGCAGCGGGAGGCCCAUUGCUUCCUGGUGGCAGUGGCAAGGUACUGGACCUGUUGUGUGGCUAUAGCCGGCCACCCUAAUGCUGGUUUCCGGUCCCUCUUGCCACUUCAGUCUGGAUGCCACACUCUGAAGCACCAUGAUGUAGGAAGGUCUUACAUAUCACCUAGGAGAGGGGAGCCCUUUAGUCUGAAGUGUAAAGACAGUCUGAUCUUUAUAUCCAUGUGCUUCUGGUCACUUUCUAUGACCUUUCUGCUUUCCAUUCUGUACUGUCGAGAAUAGUUUCUCUGUAGCCUCUUACUGUCUGAUCUAUGUACAUAAAAUGUAUCAUUUUUAAACUUGUAAGUAUAUAUAAUACCCUAAAAUAAAACUAUUCUGGCACAGC